rnacentral:ncRNA from 2 species
AUCUAGUUGAUUCGUGACGGUUCCCAGCGACGAAAACCGCCGGGAUUAAAAGGGAACACGGUGAGGACGACCCGAUCGGGGCCAAAUCCGUGGCUGCCCCCGCAACUGUAAGCGGAUGCCGCUCAUCCUCGUGACGCACUGUCUGAUCAGUGUGUCGUGCCACUGCGCAAGGGUUCGCCCCGCGUGGGAAGGCAGAUGAAAGGUGUCAAAUCCGCGAGCCAGGAGACCUGCCGCCGCAACGAAAUCCGU